UAAUGUAUGGGGAUCUGCCCGAUAGAGGGGGAUAACUACUGGAAACGGUGGCUAAUACCGCAUAAUGUCUACGGACCAAAGCAGGGGCUCUUCGGACCUUGCACUAUCGGAUGAACCCAUAUGGGAUUAGCUAGUAGGUGGGGUAAAGGCUCACCUAGACGACGAUCUCUAGCUGGUCUGAGAGGAUGAUCAGCCACACUGGGACUGAGACACGGCCCAG
rnacentral:rRNA from 1 species